rnacentral:rRNA from 1 species
UACGUAGGUGGCAGGCGUUAUCCGGAUUUACUGGGUGUAAAGGGCGUGUAGGCGGGACUGCAAGUCAGAUGUGAAACCCAUGGGCUCAACCCAUGGCCUGCAUUUGAAACUGUGGUUCUUGAGUGUCGGAGAGGUAAUCGGAAUUCCGUGUGUAGCGGUGAAAUGCGUAGAUAUACGGAGGAACACCAGUGGCGAAGGCGGAUUACUGGACGAUAACUGACGCUGAGGCGCGAAAGCGUGGGGAGCAAACAGG